rnacentral:rRNA from 1 species
UACAGAGGUCCCAAGCGUUGUUCGGAUUCAUUGGGCGUAAAGGGUGCGUAGGUGGCGUGGUAAGUCGGGUGUGAAAUUUCGGAGCUUAACUCCGAAACUGCAUUCGAUACUGCUGUGCUUGAGGACUGGAGAGGAGACUGGAAUUUACGGUGUAGCAGUGAAAUGCGUAGAGAUCGUAAGGAAGACCAGUGGCGAAGGCGGGUCUCUGGACAGUUCCUGACACUGAGGCACGAAGGCCAGGGGAGCAAACGGG